rnacentral:rRNA from 1 species
GUGACAAAUGUUCAACGGCCGCGGUAUCCUAACCGUGCGAAGGUAGCGUAAUCACUUGUUCUUUAAAUGAGGACUAGUAUGAAUGGCACCACGAGGGUCGCACUGUCUCCUUCCCCUAAUCAAUGAAACUAAUCUUCCCGUGAAGAAGCGGGAAUUUAUCUAUAAGACGAGAAGACCCUAUGGAGCUUUAAAUUUCUCUUCAAACGCCAGACAUAAACCCUAAACAUCUUACACCAACCCGGCGCCAUGAAGAUGAAUUUUAGGUUGGGGUGACCACGGAGAACAAGACAACCUCCACGCUGAAUAGGCCUAAAACCUUGAACUAAGGACCACAGCCCGACGAACUAAAAAAUUAACACCCAUUGACCCA